rnacentral:lncRNA from 1 species
GGGCAUAGAGGAAACGAAUCUGAAUAGGAACAAUGAGGUUGCAGGUUCGAUCCCUGGCUUCGCCCAGUGGGUUGGGGAUCCAGCAUUGUCAUGAGCUGUGGUAUAGGUCACAGACACUGCUCAGAUCUGGCCGUUGCUGUGCCCUGGUGUAGGCCGGCAGCUGUAGCUCCAAUUUGACCCCUAGCAUGGGAACCUCGAUAUGUCACGGGUGAGGCCCUAAAAAGACAAACAAAAAAAAUUUGUGAGCAAAGAAGAUAUAAACUUAGCUAGUCAUUGCUUCAUUAUUUUGAAUAUGAGAAAAAUAGUAUUAAGAUGUUCAUACUUCAUAGUAGGAUUGCCUUGAGAUAUCAGUAGGCUUUAUAUAACUGAAUUACAAGUAAAUCCUCUAAUGCUUAGGGAAUAAGCAGUUCUGUUUAAUUAAAUAUUUCAUUUUACUCCGUGUUAUCAAAUAAACCAUACAUGGUUUCAACUUUAAAGUAUUUGAAAAAUUAAAAAAAAUAAGACAUGUAGUAAGAAGAAAAACUGGGAAAGAACAUAGUUUAAUUUUUACUUACUUUUAGAAUCUUGUAGUGUUCCAGAGUCAUGGGGGAAAAACUGCUAGAUGCCAACCAGAGAGGUAUGGCCCAUAGACUGAAAACCAUUUAGCUUCCUGGAAUUUACCUACUGUAUCAUCUGCUAGGGCUGCUAUAAGAACAUACCAUAGAAUACCAGGGCCUUCAAUGACAGGAAUUUAUUCCUCAGUGUUUGGAGACUAGGAAGUUCAAGAUCAAGAUGUAGGCUACUUUCGUUCUCCGGUGAGAGCUCUCUUCCUGGUGUCUGGAUGACCAUCUUCUCACUGUGUCUUCACAGGGACAUCACAGAGCAGGGAAGAGAGCCUGCUCAGGUCUUUCUUCUUCUUAUAAAGACAGUAAUCACAUUACUAGGGUCCCAUCCUCAUGCCCUCAUCUAAACUUAAAUACCUUUCAAAGGCCCUGCUUCCAAAUAUCAUCACAUUGGCGUUAGACCUUCUAGCUAUAAGAUUAGUGGGGGUGGAGGAACACAAUUCAGUCCAUAGGACCCACUUUACAAAGCAAACUAUGUUGGCCCAGAGAGAUAGGAAAUUGACUAGCUUAGAAUUUGCAGAGCUCAGCUGAGUCUCCAGGCUCCAGCUUCCUGUUCAGCAAAUUCUCAUAGUACUUUAUCAGUCUCCACUGUAGGACACAUCUCCCUUCUGUCCUUAUUAGAGUUACUUGUCUGUAAAUAAUUUUCAUCCUACCUGAUUUUAAGUUCCCUGAAUAGUGAAUCCAUAUCUACAACAUCUAUUGAAUUGAUGUCCAUGUAUUAACCAUUUCAUUUUUCAUAAAGAUUAAGUUCUGGAUUCUGGAGCACUGUUGUAUUUAUAAAUUUUCUAUUCAUUAUGAAUUCCAAUGUAUUGAGGUUGACUGGAGUAUUUUAAUGAUACAGUUUAUCCAAAUCACUUUGUCACAUUGAAAUUUUAUAUAUCCAUAUAUUAGUUAAAUGUUGAACAACAGCAUUUAUUAUGUAUUAUAUAUAUACAUUCUCCAUGUUGCCAAUCACUAGAGUUGUAACUAUGAAACAGAACUUUUUCUCAUGUGAUUUUGGUUAUAUAAUUUUUCAUUAAAUUUUAGCCCAUAUAGAAGACAUAUGGAACAUGACAGUGCCAUACACUGUGUCUCUUUGGUUUACUAUUUGGACAUAUGCUUUACAUACAAAAGUUAUUUCAGUUCACCAUAUGUGAUCCAUAUUUAAAUGUAGAAAUGGAGCCUCACAGGAGAUGUAUCAAAAUAGCACAUACAAACAUUUACUAUUUGUGCCAGUAAGUGGAUCUUUAGCAGAAAACUCAACAACUACCAUAUGCAGCAGCUGUUAUUCAGUGGACCAAAAAUAACGGCCUGGAACAAUGCAAGCUGCAGUUUCAGCAUAUUUGAACCCCAUCCACCUAUUUCUCAAAAUCCAUUCAGAUGCUUAAAAGGCUCUUCAUUUGCAAUUAACCACUGUAAUUGUUUUGACCCACACAUGCUAGUUAAGGAGAAACACUCCAAGAAAAAAUUUCCUGAGCUGUCAGGUAUUUGUCAGUGGGGGGGGGAACAGUAAACACAUUGUCUAUUCCCCAGGACAACUUUUGGAACUCAACAUAAAAUAUUUUUUAAUAAGCCUUUGGAUGGCCAAUAUGGCUGAGACAAUAACUCAUAUGAUUUAAAAAUAUUAACUAGUUUAUUAAUUAGAUAUAUCUCUAUAUAAUUAGGUAUAUCUCUCUGAAAUACCACAAAAAGUUGUUUUCUAGUAAAGUCUAUUAUUUGCUCAGAUUUUUUGGUUGGUUGAGAUAAUCAUCAUGAGUGUGUGUUAUUAUUUAUGGGAAGAAAGUUAAAGAUGUGCUGGGAGUUAAUUUUUUAUGCAUGUGAUAAUAAUACAGAAAAAUCUUGACAGUUGUCAUUGAAUGGGAGUGGGGAAAGCAAUGCUCAGUAAACAAGAUCACUGGUUUAGAAUUCCAGCUCUGUCAUAUGCCUCUAAGCAAGGCCCUUGCAAGCCUCAGUUUCAUAUCUUAGAAAGUGGGAUGAUAAUAAUCUCUAUUUCUGAUUAUUCCAUAGGGUCAUUGUGAGGACAGCUAACAACAACAACUACUCCUAUAUUAUCUGACAUCAGUUAUUGAAUUCAUACUAUGUGAUCAAAGUUGUGACACUACUAUAUAUCAUCAUGUUAUUUAGCUCUCAAAGCAACCUGCAGGGUAGUUUAUUUCUAUGCUGAAUCAACAUCUAACCCUGCAAAUCUCAGUGCCUUAAUUCUGAUGUGUCAUUGAGUGAAAUGUUAGAGAAGCUUCUUGGCAUGCUAUGACUCAGAAAUUAAUACCAACUUAAUUUUGUGUUGCCACCACUUCAAUAGAGAGAUCUGGAGAAUUGGUAUCUGCUCUUAUAUGCUUUAGCCCAGAAGUAACCCAGGAGAGCCCUUUGGCCAUUUCAAGGCCCUGACUAGCCUCGGGGGGCAGAGAUUAUGGGGGAGCACGUGGAUAUUAGGUAAGCAAUCAGCGUAUCUGUUAAAGACAGUGUGGUUUUCCCUGUUUUACAAAUGAGGGAACUAUAGUUCAGAGAUAUUAGGUAAUUUACCUAUGUCACACCCAUUUAGUAGUCAUACACUAUUUUCAUUCUAUUUGACUUAGGAUCUUUAUCUUAAUCAUGAUUUUUAUUAAUAUUUUGAUGAUUUAUUAUUACAUACUAGUGAAUCACAAUAAGUCCACAAAAGGUAUUUUUUAUGAUUCUUCUGCAAUUAAUGAACUUCUCAUCUCAUGGGGAAAAAUUACAUUAUUUAGUUUCUUCUUUCACAGAUGAAGAAAAAGUACUUAUUCUUUUACUUAAUAAAUUUAGAAAUUAAUAUUCAAAUUACACUUCUGUACUAGAUAAAUUAUUUGAAAUAAAAAAUUAAAUGAAUAUUUCUAAAUAAAGUUUAGAUAGUUUGGAUAAACAUACAGAUAUUGUUGCAAGGAGAAGGAAUAAAUGCUCAUUUUGGAUGUAUAUUUAAAAAUAUUGAAAAUAUUAAGAAAGAAAAAUAAUUUGGGUACUUUUUGAAAAAACUGAAAGAAUUAGAAAUCCAAUAGUUGUCAUUAAAAUAUUUUCUUCACUUGUGUUUCCGAUAAGUGUAUAUCAGAAAAUGGGCUAGAAAGUCUCACAUCCUUAAAAUAGCAAAAUAAAUCAACAAUAGAUAUUGUAAUGUAAUUAAAAUUGCAAGAUAAAACAAUAGAUAAAUCAUCCAUAGCCAUAACUGAAAUAUGUAAUGUGCUACUAGAACACAACAUAUGGUUUAAUAAUUGGGUGUUGCAUAUGGUAAUUGUCAUAAUUGUACUCUUAUUUAUGGCUUUUCAAAGAACUAUAAGAACAGUGGGAUUAGUCCAACAGUUUCUGAGAGGAAAAAUAAAUAGAUUAUGAUUAUGUUAGUUUUGCAUAUAAUUGUAGGAAAAUAAAAUGGCAUGCCAGGCCAAGAAUGCUGAUUUUUAAUGUACUAAUGGGUUAGCUCCAAAAGUAGUGUGAAGUUUUGAAAAAAUAGGUGUAUAUCAGAUAAUUCUGGGAAGUGCUUUUAUUGUAACCACUGAUAAUAUUAGAUUAUGUAAUAGCACAAUCUUCUUUUAUCUUUUUCCAUGAACUAUACUCAAGAACUGCGACCUUUGCAAGAAUUUGGACAUCUCAUUCCUUCUUUCAAAUUGAUACUUCAGAUAAAAUUCACUGCCCUAUUUGUUUGUUUCUCUUACUCUAAAUUUAAAAACCAGUUGGUACAGUUUGGAAAUAUACUAUUAAUGUAUAAAGAUAUGGUAUGGAAAUGAAUACAUGCAGUUAUACUUGGCAAGCCAAGGGAAGGAAUAGCAUUAAAGGCACUUAAUAUUUGUUGGUAAGUAUAAUAUUCCAUUAGCUCUUCUAAGAUCUAACAUGUUUUACACAGUAAUAAAUAAUAACAAUAAUGAUAGCUAGUCUUUACUGAAUUCCCUUCUCUUCACCAGGCUUUGUUUUGAGUGAUUUAUAUACAUGAUCUCAUUUGGUCCUUACAACCUAGGAGGAAAGGGCUCUUAUUGAUAUCUUUAGUUUACAGAUGAAAAACUCAAUGCUUAAAAUAGUGAAGUUAAUUGCCAAAAUCACAUAACUCAUUGGGACAGAGAUCAGUUUUAUUCCCUGGCUCUGUAACUCCAAAGUAUAACUUUAUAUGUAUAUAUAUAAAAGGAUGCUCCCUCUACCUGCUUUGCCCUUUCAAUUUCAGCUUCGGAACAUUUGUGUCAUUGUGUCUUCAUGCCCAGUGGUUUGAGUCAGGGUUAGGGAAGAGUGCUUCUAUACUAACAGAAUUCCAAUUGGAUGGUUGGAAAUUGUUGAUUUGAGAAUGGUUGCCAAGAUAAAUCAAAACAAAUGAGGGUCAAGGAAAUUCAUUUGUUUUUCAUUUUCAAGUAAAAAGCAUUAAAUCAUCUCUUUCUCUUUACAGAACAGGUUUAAGAAGAACAAUUAAAAGGAAAGGCUAUUAUCCAAUGCUUAAAGAUCCACCAUAGAAUACUGCACAUACUUCUUAAAAUGGGAAUCUGCCCCCCACUAUUGAGUGAAAGCUAUUCUCAAAUUACUAUUUAAUGUCAUGUGCAAUAAAUGAAAAGCAGUAUUAAAUAUAUUUUAAGACUCUUGUCAAAAGAACUGUCUACUAUAUCAUUUCCCAGCCCCUAUGCAAGUUUCCAUGUUAGGAAGAAAGUUUUUUUUUUGUGGAAUUUAUUUCUAGGAAAUCCCUCUUCUCCCACCGGGAACUAUAUGUCUGGUCUUAGUAAUGUGCUUCAUUUUCACCCUGGAGGUUGGGACGCUCAAGUCCAUUAUAAAUGCUCUAAUAAAGUAAGCAUUUAGCAUCUAUGACAGAGAUGCUAUCAUAUUUUCCAGGUUCCAUUGAAGGUAGAUAAUUAAUUCUAAUGAAUACAAUGUAGGUCAAAGGGAUGUGUGUGAUAUUCAAGCCUGGCCACCACUGCUGAUCGUUUCCUUCCCCAAAUUGCCUGCUGACUUACAUAUAGGAUCAUCUUGAAAGGUAUAUAUUGAGGGGAGCAGUCUCUUUCAAACCUACUCUCGCAUUACUCUGCAGCAAUCAUACCUUAUAAGAACAAUGAAUAAAUUUCUAAGGCAUGAAGCUACCAUGCCUUAGAAGUUUAUUAGCUUACAGUCUAGUUUAUCAGUUACAGUGACUACUAACAUAUUAAUUACUAAAGAAAUUGGUAAUAGACAUUCGGUAUUUCUUUUAUUUUUUCCCCUUUUCUCUGCUUUAUGGAAAUAAGACACAUGUGUUUCUAUAAAAUUAGAGCAGAGUGGGUUGUACUUCAUAAAGACAUUCAGGAUGCCAGGUUGACAAAGGCUCAGCCAUCUUGAAAGCAUCCGUUCCAAGGUUGUCCUUUGCUCAGUGGUUAAUUACUAGGCAGCAGGAGAAAACUGACGUCAGAGGCAAGAAAAAAAAUGCAAGUUGUUUAACGGCAAAGUUUUUGUUUACUUGUGAUAACUUGAAGAUGGAUAACAUAUAUACAAAGCCUUUGGCUUUAGUAAAAGAAGUUGAAAAACAGUAUCAUUGAUGAGUAGUGGUUGCCACUGGUUGAGCAAAACAUGUUAUUAGAAGAAGUAGUACAGGUUGAAUAAUAAUUAGCUAUUUUUCACAGAGAAAUAAAAGAGAAUAGAAAGUUUUCAGAAAUUUGAAGUACCACAGAUUUAGAAAAGUUGAUUGGAAAAUUAGAAGCCAAACAGGAAAUAAGGUUAAAAAAGGCUCUGAAUGACAAAGAUUCAUUUAGAUUCAACCCUGC